UCUUUGUUUACACGGUAGUAAUAUUCUUUGUUUCUCUCUUCAUUUUUGGAUUCUUA
rnacentral:tRNA from 1 species